UACGUAGGGUGCGAGCGUUGUCCGGAAUUAUUGGGCGUAAAGAGCUCGUAGGCGGUGUGUCGCGUCGGCCGUGAAAACCUGGGGCUCAACUCUGGGCGUGCGGUCGAGUACGGGCAUCACUUGAGUUCGGCAGGGGAGACUGGAAGUUCCUGGUGGUAGCGGUGAAAUGCGCAGAUAUCGAGGAGGAACACCGGUGGCCGAAGGCGG
rnacentral:rRNA from 1 species